rnacentral:rRNA from 1 species
UACGAAGGGGGCUAGCGUUGCUCGGAAUUACUGGGCGUAAAGGGCGCGUAGGCGGAUAUUUAAGUUAGAGGUGAAAGCCCAGGGCUCAACCCUGGAAUAGCCUUUAAUACUGGAUAUCUUGAGUUCGGGAGAGGUGAGUGGAACUCCGAGUGUAGAGGUGAAAUUCGUAGAUAUUCGGAAGAACACCAGUGGCGAAGGCGACUCACUGGCCCGAUACUGACGCUGAGGCGCGAAAGCGUGGGGAGCGAACAGG